ensembl:snoRNA SNORD42 Small nucleolar RNA SNORD42
GUGCAAAUGAUGGAAACACUUUCGAACUGAGCAAAGUGAUGUUUUCAAAGGAACCACUGAUGCAC